AGCGUACACGGUGGAUGCCUAGGCAAUCAGAGGCGAUGAAGGACGUGCUAAUCUGCGAUAAGCGUCGGUAAGGUGAUAUGAACCGUUAUACCCGACGAUUUCCGAAUGGGGAAACCCAGUGCAAUCCGUUGCAUUAUCGUUUGAUGAAUACAUAGUCAAACGAAGCGAACCGGGGGAACUGAAACAUCUCAGUACCCCGAGGAAAAGAAAUCAACCGAGAUUCCCCUAGUAGCGGCGAGCGAACGGGGAGCAGCCCAGAGUCUUAAUCAGCAUUAGUAUCAGGAGAACGGUCUGGAAAGUCCGGCAGUAAAGGGUGAUAGCCCCGUAUCUGAAGAUAUUAGUGUUGUGAACUCGACGAGUAGGGCGGGACACGUGUUAUCCUGUCUGAAUAUGGGGGGACCAUCCUCCAAGGCUAAAUACUCCUGAUUGACCGAUAGUGAACCAGUACCGUGAGGGAAAGGCGAAAAGAACCCCGGCGAGGGGAGUGAAAUAGAACCUGAAACCGUGUACGUACAAGCAGUGGGAGCCUUGAUUUAUCAGGGUGACUGCGUACCUUUUGUAUAAUGGGUCAGCGACUUAUAUUCUGUAGCAAGGUUAACCGUAUAGGGGAGCCGUAGGGAAACCGAGUCUUAACUUGGCGAAUGAGUUGCAGGGUAUAGACCCGAAACCCGGUGAUCUAGCCAUGGGCAGGUUGAAGGUUGGGUAACACUAACUGGAGGACCGAACCGACUAAUGUUGAAAAAUUAGCGGAUGACUUGUGGCUGGGGGUGAAAGGCCAAUCAAACCGGGAGAUAGCUGGUUCUCCCCGAAAGCUAUUUAGGUAGCGCCUCGUGAACUCAUCUUCGGGGGUAGAGCACUGUUUCGACUAGGGGGUCAUCCCGACUUACCAACUCGAUGCAAACUACGAAUACCGAAGAAUGUUAUCACGGGAGACACACGGCGGGUGCUAACGUUCGUCGUGAAGAGGGAAACAACCCAGACCGCCAGCUAAGGUCCCAAAGUCAUAGUUAAGUGGGAAACGAAGUGGGAAGGCUCAGACAGCCAGGAUGUUGGCUUAGAAGCAGCCAUCAUUUAAAGAAAGCGUAAUAGCUCACUGGUCGAGUCGGCCUGCGCGGAAGAUGUAACGGGGCUAAACUAUGCACCGAAGCUGCGGCAGCGAUAUGUAAAUAUUGUUGGGUAGGGGAGCGUUCUGUAAGCCUGUGAAGGUGUACUGUGAGGUAUGCUGGAGGUAUCAGAAGUGCGAAUGCUGACAUAAGUAACGAUAAUGCGGGUGAAAAACCCGCACGCCGGAAGACCAAGGGUUCCUGUCCAACGUUAAUCGGGGCAGGGUGAGUCGACCCCUAAGGCGAGGCAGAAAUGCGUAGUCGAUGGGAAACGGGUUAAUAUUCCCGUACUGGUGAUAAUUGCGAUGGGGGGACGGAGAAGGCUAGGCUGGCCGGGCGACGGUUGUCCCGGUUUAAGGAUGUAGGCAGGUGAAUUAGGCAAAUCCGGUUCACUAUAUGCUGAGGUCUGAUGACGAGUCACUACGGUGGCGAAGUAGCUCAUGCCCCGCUUCCAGGAAAAGCCUCUAAGCUCUAGAUUAUCAUUAAUCGUACCCCAAACCGACACAGGUGGUCAGGUAGAGAAUACUCAGGCGCUUGAGAGAACUCGGGUGAAGGAACUAGGCAAAAUGGUGCCGUAACUUCGGGAGAAGGCACGCUGGCGCUAGGUGAAGUGGUUUACCCAUGGAGCUGAAGCCAGUCGCAGAUACCAGCUGGCUGCAACUGUUUAUUAAAAACACAGCACUGUGCAAACACGAAAGUGGACGUAUACGGUGUGACGCCUGCCCGGUGCUGGAAGGUUAAUUGAUGGGGUUAUCCGUAAGGAGAAGCUCUUGAUCGAAGCCCCAGUAAACGGCGGCCGUAACUAUAACGGUCCUAAGGUAGCGAAAUUCCUUGUCGGGUAAGUUCCGACCUGCACGAAUGGCGUAAUGAUGGCCAGGCUGUCUCCACCCGAGACUCAGUGAAAUUGAACUCGCUGUGAAGAUGCAGUGUACCCGCGGCAAGACGGAAAGACCCCGUGAACCUUUACUAUAGCUUGACACUGAACAUUGAGCCUUGAUGUGUAGGAUAGGUGGGAGGCUUUGAAGUGUGGACGCCAGUCUGCAUGGAGCCAACCUUGAAAUACCACCCUUUAAUGUUUGAUGUUCUAACGUUGCCCCGUUAUCCGGGGUGCGGACAGUGUCUGGUGGGUAGUUUGACUGGGGCGGUCUCCUCCCAAAGAGUAACGGAGGAGCACGAAGGUUGGCUAAGCAUGGUCGGACAUCAUGCGGUUAGUGCAAAGGCAUAAGCCAGCUUGACUGCGAGAGUGACGGCUCGAGCAGGUACGAAAGUAGGUCUUAGUGAUCCGGUGGUUCUGAAUGGAAGGGCCAUCGCUCAACGGAUAAAAGGUACUCCGGGGAUAACAGGCUGAUACCGCCCAAGAGUUCAUAUCGACGGCGGUGUUUGGCACCUCGAUGUCGGCUCAUCACAUCCUGGGGCUGAAGUAGGUCCCAAGGGUACGGCUGUUCGCCGUUUAAAGUGGUACGCGAGCUGGGUUUAGAACGUCGUGAGACAGUUCGGUCCCUAUCUGCCGUGGGCGUUGGAAGAUUGAAAGGGGCUGCUCCUAGUACGAGAGGACCGGAGUGGACGCACCACUGGUGUUCGGGUUGUCAUGCCAAUGGCAUUGCCCGGUAGCUAAGUGCGGAAGAGAUAACCGCUGAAAGCAUCUAAGCGGGAAACUUGCCUUGAGAUGAGUCUUCCCUGACCCUUUA
rnacentral:rRNA from 1 species